UCCUUUUUUAUCAAGCGUUGUUCGGAUUUACUGGGCGUAAAGGGCGCGUAGGCGGCGCAACAAGUCACUUGUGAAAUCUCCGGGCUUAACUCGGAACGGUCAAGUGAUACUGUUGUGCUAGAGUGCGGAAGGGGCAACUGGAAUUCUCGGUGUAGCGGUGAAAUGCGUAGAUAUCGAGAGGAACACCUGCGGCGAAGGCGGGUUGCUGGGCCGACACUGACGCUGAUGCGCGAAAGCCAGGGGAGCGAACGGG
rnacentral:rRNA from 1 species